rnacentral:rRNA from 1 species
CAGUCGCCGCGGGAAAACGUAGGUGGCAAGCGUUAUCCGGAAUUAUUGGGCGUAAAGCGCGCGUAGGCGGUUUUUUAAGUCUGAUGUGAAAGCCCACGGCUCAACCGUGGAGGGUCAUUGGAAACUGGAAAACUUGAGUGCAGAAGAGGAAAGUGGAAUUCCAUGUGUAGCGGUGAAAUGCGCAGAGAUAUGGAGGAACACCAGUGGCGAAGGCGACUUUCUGGUCUGUAACUGACGCUGAUGUGCGAAAGCGUGGGGAUCAAACAGGAUUAGAUACCCCGGUAGUCCCUGUCUCUUAUAC